GUCGAGAAUCAUUCACAAUGGGCGAAAGCCUGAUGGUGUGACGCCGCGUGGAGGAUGAAGGUCUUCGGAUUGUAAACUCCUGUCAAGUGAGAGUAAAGCCGGGCGUUAACUGCGAGCCGGUUUGAGAGUAUCACUAGAGGAAGAGACGGCUAACUCUGUGCCAGCAGCCGCGGUAAUACAGAGGUCUCAAGCGUUGUUCGGAAUCACUGGGCGUAAAGGGUGCGUAGGCCGCACGGUAAGUCAGAGGUGAAAUCCCGGAGCUCAACUUCGGAAUUGCCUCCGAUACUGCCGUGCUUGAGGACUGGAGAGGAGAUUGGAAUUCACAGUGGAGCAGUGAAAUGCGUAGAUAUUGUGAGGAACACUAGUGGCGAAGGCGAAUCUCUGGACAGUUCCUGACGCUGAGGCACGAAGGCCAGGGGAGCAAACGGGAUUAGAAACCCUAGUAGUCC
rnacentral:rRNA from 1 species